rnacentral:rRNA from 1 species
GUGCCAGCAGUUGCGGUUAGACAUAUAGGGCAAGUAAUAUACAUUAUCGGUAUAAAAGAUACGUAGUAUUGAAUAUAAUAUAUAUUCUAGAAUAAUAUAAUAUACUAUAAUCAUUAUACAAGUAAUAGUUAAAUAUUUAAAUAUGUAUAGGAAUUACAUUAUAUGGAAAUAUAUAGUAAUAUAUUAUUGACAUUCAGGUAUGAAAGUAUGGGUAUCAAAUUGGACUAGUCAACCAAUUAGUCCAUACUGUAAACUAUAUACACUUUAUUUCAUUUUUAUAAAAAUGAAAUAUACAUUAAUAUUAUAGUGUAUUACCGGAGAAGUACUACUUAAGGUAGAAACUCAAAACAAUAGGCUGUAUGAUAUUAAACAGUGGAUUAUGUUAUUUAAU